rnacentral:rRNA from 1 species
UCGGGAAUAUUGCGCAAUGGAGGAAACUCUGACGCAGUGACGCCGCGUGCAGGAAGAAGGUUUUCGGAUUGUAAACUGCUUUAGACAGGGAAGAAACAAGACAGUACCUGUAGAAUAAGCUCCGGCUAACUACGUGCCAGCAGCCGCGGUAAUACGUAGGGAGCAAGCGUUAUCCGGAAUUACUGGGUGUAAAGGGAGUGUAGGCGGGACUGUAAGUCAGAUGUGAAAUAUGCCGGCUCAACUGGCAGACUGCAUUUGAAACUGUGGUUCUUGAGUGAAGUAGAGGUAAGCGGAAUUCCUGGUGUAGCGGUGAAAUGCGUAGAUAUCAGGAGGAACAUCAGUGGCGAAGGCGGCCUACUGGGCUUAACUGACGCUGAGGCUCGAAAGCGUGGGAGCAAACAGGAUUAGAUACCCUGGUAGU